rnacentral:rRNA from 1 species
ACGAUGAACCGGUUUCGGCCGGGGAUUAGUGGCGAACGGGUGAGUAACACGUGGGCAAUCUGCCCUGCACUCUGGGACAAGCCCUGGAAACGGGGUCUAAUACCGGAUACGACGCGUUCCCGCAUGGGGUACGCGUGGAAAGCUCCGGCGGUGCAGGAUGAGCCCGCGGCCUAUCAGCUUGUUGGUGGGGUGAUGGCCUACCAAGGCGACGACGGGUAGCCGGCCUGAGAGGGCGACCGGCCACACUGGGACUGAGACACGGCCCAGACUCCUACGGGAGGCAGCAGUGGGGAAUAUUGCACAAUGGGCGAAAGCCUGAUGCAGCGACGCCGCGUGAGGGAUGACGGCCUUCGGGUUGUAAACCUCUUUCAGCAGGGAAGAAGCGAAAGUGACGGUACCUGCAGAAGAAGCGCCGGCUAACUACGUGCCAGCAGCCGCGGUAAUACGUAGGGCGCAAGCGUUGUCCGGAAUUAUUGGGCGUAAAGAGCUCGUAGGCGGCUUGUCGCGUCGGAUGUGAAAGCCCGGGGCUUAACUCCGGGUCUGCAUUCGAUACGGGCAGGCUAGAGUUCGGUAGGGGAGAUCGGAAUUCCUGGUGUAGCGGUGAAAUGCGCAGAUAUCAGGAGGAACACCGGUGGCGAAGGCGGAUCUCUGGGCCGAUACUGACGCUGAGGAGCGAAAGCGUGGGGAGCGAACAGGAUUAGAUACCCUGGUAGUCCACGCCGUAAACGUUGGGAACUAGGUGUGGGCGACAUUCCACGUUGUCCGUGCCGCAGCUAACGCAUUAAGUUCCCCGCCUGGGGAGUACGGCCGCAAGGCUAAAACUCAAAGGAAUUGACGGGGGCCCGCACAAGCGGCGGAGUAUGUGGCUUAAUUCGACGCAACGCGAAGAACCUUACCAAGGCUUGACAUACACCGGAAAACCCUGGAGACAGGGUCCCCCUUGUGGUCGGUGUACAGGUGGUGCAUGGCUGUCGUCAGCUCGUGUCGUGAGAGGUUGGGUUAAGUCCCGCAACGAGCGCAACCCUUGUUCUGUGUUGCCAGCAUGCCUUUCGGGGUGAUGGGGACUCACAGGAGACUGCCGGGGUCAACUCGGAGGAAGGUGGGGACGACGUCAAGUCAUCAUGCCCCUUAUGUCUUGGGCUGCACACGUGCUACAAUGGCCGGUACAAUGAGCUGCGAAGCCGUGAGGUG